rnacentral:misc_RNA from 1 species
UUAACUGAUUUAUCGUUGCUCGGACGUCACUGAUUAACUGGGUUUGAGGGGUCUCUGACGGGCGCUCGUCCACCGAAGUCGACGGGGGGCGCGGGGGCCUCGCGGCCCGCCAAAGCAACAAAAGGUAAGUACGCAUUGGGUGGAGGUUCGGGCCCAGGGGACCCUAUCUCGGUAAUGAUCCUUCCGCAGGUUCACCUACGGAAA